CAAACAUUGCAGCACUUUUGUAACAUGAUCAGCCAAACACCCUCAUAACUUUUUUUAGCAGCACAACUUUACAUCUUAAAGCAUGUUUGAUUCUCAAACUAUGAGGUGAAUGAUAAUUGGUCUUAAAUUUUUAAUUUAUUAUAAUUUCUUACUAGAACUUUCAAAAUUAUUGUAAUAAAUUCUAUAAUACAAUUUAAUUGAUUAAACAUUGAUAAAUAGUUAAUACAUAAGUUAUAUAGCAGUGUUAUGACUAAUGAUACGCCAAUAAUUAAGAUAGUACAUUACUUUUAUAUUAGCGAUGUAUCACUAUUUAGUUAGCUAAAUUAGGUUGUGGGACUUAAUUAUAAUAAUUUAAAAGCUCGAACCAGAAUGGUAACAAAUUAAAGUUUGGGAACAAAAGUGUCGGAUCUUAACCGUUUGAGGACCAGA
rnacentral:lncRNA from 1 species